rnacentral:tRNA from 1 species
GGAGGAGUACCGAAGUGGUUAUAACGGAGUCGCCUCGAAAGCGAUUAGUCCUGUAAAGGGCACGUGGGUUCGAAUCCCACCUCCUCCGCCA